UAACGCGUGGGUAACCUGCCUCAUACAGGGGGAUAACAGUUAGAAAUGACUGCUAAUACCGCAUAAGCGCACAGUGCUGCAUGGCACAGUGUGAAAAACUCCGGUGGUAUGAGAUGGACUCGCGUCUGAUUAGCUAGUUGGUGGGGUAACGGCCUACCAAGGCGACGAUCAGUAGCCGGCCUGAGAGGGUGAACGGCCACAUUGGGGCUGAGACACGGCCCAA
rnacentral:rRNA from 1 species